GUAUAGCGGUGUGACACUGCGAAUCACAGAUUAUACUCCCAAUUUCCUCUAAAAAUUCUCUCAAAACACUGUGUGGCUGUUAAUUUACAUCCAAUGUGCUAAAAAUUUACAAUGUGUGUAGGCUAAUUUUUGGAGGAAAUUGGGAGUAUAUUCUGUGAUUUGCAGUGUUACACCGCUAU
rnacentral:sRNA from 1 species